UAAACCAUGUCAUUUCCUGUUGACAGCAGGUGGCGCUAUGACUGUAACUGAAUAUUGGACUGUAGAUAGCCGCAGGUCCGGAUUCCUAUCAAAUAUGUGAAGUUUGGUGUAGAUUGAACAGUGUGUGAAUUAUAACAACUUCCUGUUUCGUGGCAUUAGCACUUAGCUAAGUGUUGCUAGCAUGGUGUAACAUGUUUCUAGCGUGUUGCUAGCAUAUUUACCUCUUGCUGGCAUAUUUUACAAUGUUGGUAGGAGUGCAUCACAGUGUAAAACGUCAUUUCCUGUUGCCAGCAGGUGGCGCUAUGACUAUAACUUAAUAUUGGCAUGUAGAUGUCUUCAGGCCAGGACUUUUAUCAAACGUGAAGUUUUGGGAAGAUUAGGCAUUGUACGCUUGAGUGAUAACUUCCUGUUUAAUAGCAUUAAUAGCACGCUUUAGCACUUAGCUAAGUGUUGCUAGCAUGUUUUAACAUGUUUAGAAUUUGCUGGCACAUUUUUAUAUGUUGCUAGGAAUACAUCAGUGUAAAACAUGUCACUUCUUGUUGGCAGCAGGUGGCACUAUGACUAUAACUGAAUAUUGGCAUGUAGGUAGCCUCAGGCCAGGUUUUCUAUUAAAAAUGUGAAGUUUGGAGCAGAUUGAACAUUGUAUAUUUGAUUUAUAAGAAGUUCGUUUUUCAUGGCGAAACAUCGAAAUUUGUGAGACCGCCACGACCACACGUAAAUUUUCACCGGUUCUGACAGGUCUGCGAAGUUAUGUGAGUUUUCGGGUAUGUUUGGGCCCUCUAAAAUGCAAUUAAUUUGAGGAAUGAAGAUGAAGAAUUAAAGCUGCAAGCGGCGGUAAACGGGCCCUCGCACCCACUUGCAUGUUGGGGCUGCUCUCACUCCAGCGUCUCACUAGCAAACACUUCCAGAACAAGGAGUAGAUGAGACAACCACCAGGACCACAACUUCUCUCAAGACUGAAUGUCGAGGAAGGUGAUCAGAAGCGACAACUCAACCAACUGAGCCACCAAGUCACUUGCACACUCCAUCCUCCUUCACACCAUUCAGAACCUGCACAAACAACCACAACACAACCACUACACCAAAGAUGGACAGAAGCAACCCCUGUGUGUUGGACUGUUAUUAUAAAUCACUUCAUGAGGAUGCAGCAAUUUUCACCCUUAAACCAGUCAAAAGGCAGACAAGAAACCACACCACUGGCAUGAACUCUAACUGCUACACCACAGAGGGACAGACCCCACAAGUGUGACUUUUGUUGUCAUAAAUGACUUCACAAGGACACAGAAAUUUUUAGUCUUAAACCAACGAAAAGGUAGAAAUGAACCCACACCUUCUGGCACCCCACCAGUGGCAGGAACACUAACUGCUACACCAGAGAGGGGUAGAAGCAAAAACACUACUGGAGUUUUGUCAUCAUAAACCACUUCAUGAGGACGCAGCAAUUUUUAGUCUUAAACCAGCCAUAACACAAGAGAGAACCCACACCUUAUGGAACCCCAUCACUGAUGCUGACACUAACCACUACACCACUAAGCAUGUAAGAAGCAUUAUAUGUUACUACC
ensembl:lncRNA